GCAUAUCAAUAAGCGGAGGAAAAAGAAACCAACAGGGAUUGCCUCAGUAACGGCGAGUGAAGCGGCAACAGCUCAAAUUUGAAAUCUGGCCCCCCGGCCCGAGUUGUAAUUUGCAGAGGAUGUUUCUGGCAAGGUGCCUUCCGAGUUCCCUGGAACGGGACGCCAUAGAGGGUGAGAGCCCCGUCCGGUUGGUCGCCGCGCCUAUGUGAAACUCCUUCGACGAGUCGAGUAGUUUGGGAAUGCUGCUCUAAAUGGGAGGUGUACGUCUUCUAAAGCUAAAUACCGGCCAGAGACCGAUAGCGCACAAGUAGAGUGAUCGAAAGAUGAAAAGCACUUUGAAAAGAGGGUUAAACAGUACGUGAAAUUGUUGAAAGGGAAGCGUUUAUGACCAGACGUGGGCCGGUUGAUCACCCGUCGUUCUCGGCGGUGCACUCUGCCGGCUCAGGCCAGCAUCAGCUGGCCCCGGGGGACAAAGGCGUCGGGAAUGUAGCUCCUCCCGGGGAGUGUUAUAGCCCGUCGCGUAAUACCCUGGGGUCGGCUGAGGUACGCGCUCUGCAAGGAUGCUGGCGUAAUGGUCAUCAGCGACCCGUCUUGAAACACGGACCAAGGAGUCGUCUUCGUAUGCGAGUGUUCGGGUGUCAAACCCCUACGCGGAAUGAAAGUGAACGUAGGAGAGAGCUUCGGCGCAUCUCCGACCGAUCCUGAUGUUCUCGGAUGGAUUUGAGUAAGAGCAUACGGGGCCGGACCCGAAAGAAGGUGAACUAUGCCUGUGUAGGGUGAAGCCAGAGGAAACUCUGGUGGAGGCUCGCAGCGGUUCUGACGUGCAAAUCGAUCGUCAAACAUGGGCAUGGGGGGCGAAAGACUAAUCGAACCUUCUAGUAGCUGGUUUCCGCCGAAG
rnacentral:rRNA from 1 species